GUGGCUGGCAUCAUUCUGCCGGCUGUUAUCACCAUAGUCAUCAUUCUUGCUGUCCUGCUGUUACUUGGAAUUGUGUAUAUGAGUAAACGUGAAGGAGCUGUGAGAAACAGCAGAAUAAACCAAAGGGCUGUCCAUUCUGAUGCCCACGAUGAGACAAACACAGCUUUCAACCCCAGGAGCACAUCCUCUGAGAAUGACACUCUGCAGG